GACAAAACAAUGAAAAUGUAAACAUUUCCUCGCUAAAUCAGGGACGGUUGGUCACCUUCGUUUUAAUCAAUCAAAAAACUUAUCAACAGAUAGGCAGAGGUGUGGGAAAAAGAGUUGUCUAUGAACAGUGCAGUUAUUUUAUUGGUUCGAAAUCAAAUUUUAAUUAAAUUUUACGAUGUCUUGCAAAUUGUGUUCUAAAAUUUUAAGAAAAACUAUGAUGUGCUGUAUGGGCCAUACCGUCUGUUACGAUUGCGGAAACCUUGAACCAAAAUAUCGAUUCUUUCGUUUUGAGAUGAUGCUUCCAGAAGUGAGAAACUUCACCGUUGAGGAGCUGGUCUCUGAAAUCUGGCCUGAAGUGCCUGGAGAAACUAUCUCACUUCCUGUGUUUCGAAAUUCCAUAAUUAAAUGUCCGGUACGGUACUGCCGGGAAAGAAGGCCGUCUGAUGGCAUAGCAGAACAUCUAAGAAGUCGUCACCAAAACUCUAUAUGUAAAUUGACUAUAAAUCACAAUUGGACCACCAUUUCAUUAAGAUACGCUGCCAUUAGAACUAUAUAUAAAGUCGUUUGCUUUUGUAAGUGUUUUUUCUGCAUUAUUAUUGAAAUUGAUAAACAACACUCUGCAUGGAUUAUAAAUGUGACUAAAGUGAGCAAUACUUUAAAAAAAUUUAGUUUUUCUGUAAACAAUCGCUUAAAUCGGCAACCGAUGUCAUCAUACGAAAAUAACAGGAAUAUUAAUUAUAAUAUUUGUGAACCCCCGGCACUAAUGCCGAUAGAGUGGGAAACUUGUUCAAUUUAUUUUUUUAAAUCCGAAAAAAACUAAAAUCGGAAUGCCGAUUUGAGAUGAUUUAAUAUUGUUCAUUUUUAUGUGUGGUGUUUUUAUUAUAUCUUUUUUGUAACCAGUAUGAGACAGUAGAAGUUUACAAUUUUACUUUUUAAAUAAAAUUAAAUACAGGC